AGUUGAAUUGAUGGGUUAUAUGGCAAAUUAAAGAAAGUGCCAAACUAUUUUCCAAAGUGACUCCUCCAUUUUACAUUUCCUUAAGCAAU
rnacentral:pre_miRNA from 1 species